UCCGCUGGCCUCGGCCUCCCAAAAUGCUAGGAUUACAGGCAUGAGCCACUGCACCCAGCCAGAAUGGGGAAUGGGGGUUCUUAAUCUCCUCCAGUCUGUGGAUAGAAUUCAGGGGUCUGUGAACAUGGAUGAGAAAAAAAUAGCAUCAUUAUUUAUUCCUAGUGUAGCUAAAAUGUGUAGUAUGGCCUUUGAUUAUGAAUGUACACAAUAAAUGUCACAGCAUUAGAAAGGCUUGUGACUACCCACAUAAUGCAUGAGCCCAUGUGGCCCUUGAAUUUAAAAAAAAUUUUUUUUAUU